UCCUGGGUAGCUCAGUUGGUUGAGCGUCUGACUUCGGCUCAGGUCAUGAUCUCACAGUUCAUGGGUUCGGGCCCCAUGUCAGGCU
rfam:Felis catus isolate Cinnamon breed Abyssinian chromosome B3, whole genome shotgun sequence.